CAAGAAUAUUAGUCAAUGCUCGCAAGAGUGAACUAGCUAACUGAAAUCACAGGACUCGCUCUGUUGAGAAAUGUGAUAACGUAAGGGAAAAAAAUGAUAUUACCUUACUAUUAGUGUUGUCCAAAACUGGUGCCAGAAGACUCGGUAAGGCCAGAGACGCAAACGUUAGUCGUCCUAAUCAGGCGUAAAGGGUAUGUAGGCUGCUUUAAAACCAAUUAAAGCUAGAAUCAAAUUGAGGAUAAACCAAAUAAUACUUAGUGUAGGGUUGAUAUCUAUAGAUACUAAGGGGAAUACUAAAGGUGAAAGCUUUUUAUCUAGUAAUGAUUGACGCUGAGAAACGAAGGUGAGAAUAGGAAAUAGGAUUAGAUACCCAGAUACCUCUCACUGUCAACGAUGAAUGGUGGUUGUUAGUUUUAAUAAAAACUGGUAACGAUGUUAACACGAUAACCAUUCCGCCUUGCGAGUACGGUUGCAAAACUGAAACCAAAAAAAUUAGUCGGUCUCGAAGCAAACGAAGUGAAGCAUGUUAUUUAAUUCGAUA
rnacentral:rRNA from 1 species